UCGGGCCCUAGUGUGGCUCGACCAACCCUAGUGCAUCCAUGGGUAGAUUCAUAACCAAUUGUUUCUCCAAACAACUUCUAGCAUUGGGUUUUGCCUUAGACUUUCCUUCAGCAAGCAUGUGGCACCUCCACUAAAAAUUCUAAUUAGGUCCAACCAUUAACAUGACACAUCAAGUGCAUCCAACAAACGAAUGUCCAGAUCCGAGUGUGGCUCGACCAACCUG
rnacentral:lncRNA from 1 species